AUUGAACGCUGGCGGCAAGCCUAACACAUGCACGUCGAACGAGUGGCGGACGGGUGCGUAAUGUCUGGGAAACUGCCUGAUGGAGGGGGAUAACUACUGGAAACGGUAGCUAAUACCGCAUACCAUCGGAUGUGCCCAUAUGGGAUUAGCUAGUAGGUGGGGUAAAGGCUCACCUAGGCGACGAUCCCUAGCUGGUCUGAGAGGAUGACCAGCCACACUGGAACUGAGACACGGUCCAGACUCCUAAGGGAGGCAGCAGUGGGGAAUAUUGCACAAUGGGCGCAAGCCGGAUGCAGCCAUGCCGCGUGUAUGAAGAAGGCCUUCGGGUUGUAAAGUACGUUCAGCGGGGAGGCGUUACCCGCAGAAGAAGCACCGGCUAACGCCGUGCCAGCAGCCGCGGUAAUAC
rnacentral:rRNA from 1 species